AUCCGACUGAUGAGUCCCACAUAGGACGAAAUGCACAUCUUGAAU
rnacentral:hammerhead_ribozyme from 1 species